GAAAGUAAUGAAGGGCGUACGGUGGAUGCCUAGGCUCUUACAGGCGAUGAAGGACGUGAUAAGCUGCGAAAAGCCGCGGUGAGGCGCAAAUGGCCCUUGACCCGCGGAUCUCCGAAUGGGACAACCCAAUAUCUUGAAGAGAUAUUAUCCCGCCGAUGCGGGAGGCGAACGCGGGGAACUGAAACAUCUUAGUACCCGCAGGAAAAGAAAAUAAAGAAUGAUUCCCCCAGUAGUGGCGAGCGACCGGGGAAGAGCCCAAACCGACGUUGUCUCGGCAUCGUCGGGGUUGUAGGACCGCGCCAUCGCAAGAAAGGCCGUGAGUGGAAGCGACUGGAAAGCCGCGCCAUAGAGGGUGACAGCCCCUUACACGAAGCAGCCUGAAGCGUAGCGGACUCCUGAGUAGCGCGGGACACGAGUAAUCCUGUGUGAAUCCGCCGGGCCCAUCCGGCAAGGCUAAAUACUCGUAAGAGACCGAUAGUGAACCAGUACCGUGAGGGAAAGGUGAAAAGUACCCCUUGCAGGGGAGUGAAAUAGUUCCUGAAACCGUACGCCUACAAGCGGUCGGAGCAUCUUGAAUGAUGUGACGGCGUGCCUUUUGCAUAAUGAACCUACGAGUUGCCGUCACCAGCGAGGUUAAGUGCGAUGACGCACCGAGCCGCAGCGGAAGCGAGUCUUAAAAGGGCGCGAUAGUUGGUGGAGGCAGACGCGAAACCGAGUGAUCUACACUUGUCCAGGAUGAAGUCCCGGUAACACGGGAUGGAGGUCCGCACCAAUAAGCGUUGAAAAGCUUCUGGAUGAGGUGAGUGUAGGAGUGAAAGGCCAAUCAAACUCGGAGAUAGCUCGUACUCCCCGAAAGGCAUUUAGGUGCCGCCUGUGGCGUUCCCGACGUGAGGUAGAGCGACUGAUAGGAUGCGAGGGCUUCACCGCCUAUCAAGUCCUGACAAACUCCGAAUGCACGUCGGCCAAGCCAUGGAGUAAGGGCAUGGGUGCUAAGGUCCGUGCCCGAGAGGAGAAGAAUCCAGACCACCGGCUAAGGUCCCGAAAUACUGGUUAAGUUAGACUAACGCAGUCCGGCCCCCAAGACAGCUAGGAUGUUGGCUUGGAAGCAGCCAUUCAUUCAAAGAGUGCGUAACAGCUCACUAGUCGAGGAGCUGGGCGUGGAUAAUAAUCGGGUAUAAAACCAGUUACCGAAGCCGUGGGAUGCUUAAGCAUCGGUAGGGGAGCAUUGCAUGCGGCUUAGAAGGCGGGGCGCGAGCCCCUCUGGAGCGCAUGGAAACGCAAAUGUAGGUAUAAGUAACGACAAGGGGGGUGGGAUGCCCCCCCGCCGAAAGACCAAGGUUUCCUGAACAACGCUAAUCGGUUCAGGGUCAGUCGGGUCCUAAGCAUAAGCCGUAUGGCGAGGGCGAUGGAUGAAACGGUUAAUAUUCCGUUACUGUCUUGGUGUGUGACGCGGCGACGGAGUAGUGACACGGCCGCCUCCUGACGGAAAAGGGGGUUGAAGCGCAAAGGUGUCGAGGAAGGCAGGCAAAUCCACCUUCCGAGCCGAAGCGCGAUAGUACGCCGCGCCCUUUUGGGCAAGGCGAUAGUGCCGGUAAUCAGACUUCCAAGAAAACCCGCUAAACUUCAGCACCAAGUCACCCGUACUCUAAACGGACACACGUGGUCGGGUAGAAUAUACUAAGGCGCUUGGGAGAUUCACGGUUAAGGAACUAGGCAAAUUGACCCCGUACCUUCGGAAUAAGGGGUCCUCGCUUUUGCGAGGCGCAGAGAAUAGGUCCAGGCAACUGUUUAACAAAAACACAGGGCUGUGCAAAUUUGAAAGAAGAAGUAUACAGCCUGACACCUGCCCGGUGCCGGAAGGUUAAGAGGAGAGCUCAUCAGCGAUGAGAAGGUUUGAAUUGAAGCCCCGGUAAACGGCGGCCGUAACUAUAACGGUCCUAAGGUAGCGAAAUUCCUUGUCGG
rnacentral:rRNA from 1 species